rnacentral:rRNA from 1 species
GACGGGGGCCUAGCGUUGUUCGGAAUUAUUGGGCGUAAAGGGCACGUAGGCGUGAAUCGGGUUGAAAGUGAAAGUCGCCAAAAGUGGCGGAAUGCUCUCGAAACCAAUUCACUUGAGUGAGACAGAGGAGAGUGGAAUUUCGUGUGUAGGGUGGAAAUCCGUAGAUCUACGGAAGGAAACGCCAAAAGCGAAGGACAGCUCUCUGGGUCCCUACCGACGCUGGGGUGCGAAAGCAUGGG